rnacentral:rRNA from 1 species
UAGGGAAUCUUCCACAAUGGACGCAAGUCUGAUGGAGCAACGCCACGUGAGUGAAGAAGGUUUUCGGAUCGUAAAGCUCUGUUGUUGGUGAAGAAGGAUAGAGGCAGUAACUGGUCUUUAUUUGACGGUAAUCAACCAGAAAGUCACGGCUAACUACGUGCCUG